rnacentral:misc_RNA from 1 species
ACCUUUCAAAUCAGGGUGCGGCGCGGCCCCCGAGGAGCGGAAACAAUCCUUGGGAGGUACGCGGGGGCUUCGAGCCCCCCAUUUACGCACGCACGACUGCCAUCCUUACUUUACGAGCACCUUCUGUUCUCCCUCGGCGGGGCAACCUGCCGUUGGAACCGAAUAAACUCUUUUUGCAUCUAGCAUUACCUGUUCCGAAACAAACAAUCGUUA